GACAUAUGGAGGCACUACAUAAUAGAGAAGUCUUAGAAUGUUCUAAUUUAUCAAGGGAUAUAAUUUUUCAAAAUAUAAAAUUUGUAGAUUGUAAAGCUAGUGAACAAGGUAUUGAAAAAUGUAAGGAGUUAAAAAAUGAUAAGAAUAAUAAAUAUCACCAACGAAUUAUGCGACUUUAUAAUGAGUCUGUGAGCAGGUCCAGUGAAAAUGAAGAUGGUAUGCAUGUGAAGACGUUUAAAAAAAGUGAUAAUCAGGACAACAAUAUUAAGGAUAGUUAUGAAAAACGCAGUGGUACCAAAGGUAGUGGUAAAAAGGACGAGAGAAACGAAAAAAAAAAUAAUUUCAUAAUUAUCAGUUCCCCACUUCGAAGGUGUUUAGAAACCAUGAAAUACUAUUUUAAUUUUAAAAAAAACAUAAUAUUAUAUGAAGCUGUACGUGAAGUUGCAGGCGAUUAUUGUAGUGAUGAACGGUCAAAUACGUCAAAUAUACAUGAAUUCUGUCAAAAAAAUUUUAAAGAUUAUGAAAUUAUUUGUUUUGGAAAAGAUGAUAUUUAUUAUAAGAAUAAAUUAAGAGAGUCAGCAAAUCAAGUUUAUUGUAGAUGUUUACAAUUUUUGAAAUUUGCUCAUUCGUUAGCUUUGGAUUAUUUUGCUAGCAUUGAAAAAGAAGAAGAAUCAAAAGGGGAAAUUAUUUCUAACCAUAACAAUGAUCAUAAUAGUGAAGAUAACAAAAAAGGAUCUGAUUCAUUUGAAGAAAAUGACAAAAAUCAUUAUAACAUUUUAGAUAAUUACGAAUAUUUAUAUGAUAAUGAAAAAGAAGAAUCCAACACUUCCAAUAAAAAUAAUUUUGUGAAAAAUAAUCUUGUCAAGAAUAAUCUUGUGAAGAAUAGGUUACAUAAGAAAUCCUCAAAAUAUGUUUAUAAUAUUGUUUUGGUUUCACAUAGCUCAUUUAUAAUUUAUUUAUUAGCAUUAUUAGAUUAUUUAAAUUUAGAUGUUCGUAGUUUUAAUAACUGUAAUAUAUGUAAAAUAACAAUACCCUUAACAAGUACCUAUUUAUUUUUCAACAAUAUAAUUAACCUGCAACUAGUUAAACCAGUAGUAGAUAAUAUUAUGCCUCUUACAUUUAAAGAUACAAAAAUAAAAUUAAAAAAAACAUACAAAGAAAAAAACAUAUAUACAGUUAGUAAUUACAAAGAUAUAGAUAAAUUAACAUGUAUAUAUCCCUGUACAAUUGUCAUAUAUCAAUAUAAUGAAUUAAUAAAACAUGAAAAAAAUUAUAAAUAUUUACAAAAGGUAAAA
rnacentral:lncRNA from 1 species